rnacentral:lncRNA from 1 species
UUAGCUGAUCAUCUUGAAGUAGGAUCUUAGGCCUGCUACUGGGUUGGUUUUCCCUAUAGCGUUGUAGUUCGGUCUACUGCUAAGAAAAAGUUCCAUGUUGCGGUGUUUGUCCCUGCAAAAUAAAUUAAAUACACACAUACCAAUAUAUUGUAAUGCAGAAUAUAUUAAGAUGUGAUGUAAAUGAUGCAAGAAUGAUGGUGACUGACUGCCGGCAAGCUGUUAUUCGAGAUUGGGGUAAUGGGAUAUUUGAUCCUGACUCGAUUUGUUAGUCGGGCUGAGUACCAUUCUGCAGCUGUCGAAGCAUUUGAAAAUUAUCUCCGCCUGUUGGGUAAGCUUGAUUGCUAAAGUGCGUCUGUACACGGCUAAAAUCGGAGAGUCCGAUUUUAGGAUUGUUAUGGCAUUCCGUAGCCCAGAAGCCUCGAGGGACAACUCGAGGUACGACCCCGAGGGUUCUCUAUGCUCGAUCUGGGGGCAGCACAAAUCGAUGGCUAUCAUGGAUAAGUGGGAAAUUCCCAAGGGGCGUGAUCAAAGCUGACAACGCCUGCAAGAAUAGAACAAGUCCAUACCAGACCUUUAAGUAGUUGUACCAGCUAUUUUUCUUUGUAAUAAUUAUACAUGUACCAUGUUGAGAUUCCCCCUCUUAUAUAAAGGGGACCCUUGCUAUUUCGGGAAGACAUGAUAUUCAAUACAAGAACAAGAACAUUCUCUGCUCUCUAACUUAAACAUUCUCCAUUGUCUUUCCUUUGAUUUAUUGUUUACAUUUAUUGCGUUUCAUUGAUUGUUCUUCAUUUAUUAUUCAUCAUUGAUCAUAAAGAGCCAUCAUUAAGGCCCCUAGGUCUGUUAUUCCUUCAUUGGAUAGCCCCAGUAGAGGACUCUAGCUCGACCUCGAGGCCCAUCGUAGGCCAGCUCGAGGCCCCGAUUCCCGGCCAUUCGGUUUGUAUAGCAUACCACCUUUAAGCUCUUAUCUCAUUUUCUUAACUCACACUUAGAAUCUAUUGCCUAACAUCUAGAAUUAAAAUAAAUCAUGUAUUUUUAGAACCACAAAAUCAAAUCUAAUUGUAAUUACCAUUUGCAAGGUAAAUAGUUUGGUGCCCACCGUGGGGCUAAAAAUAAUAGCGAUUGUUUUGGUGCUAGUUUACUGAAAACACAAGUAAUUCUUCACAUUUUUUCUUGUACAAGAAUCUUUGAUUUUAGGUCAAAAUGUCUAACUCAGUGAAUGCACCUGAAAACAACGGCCCUGAGAACCAUGGAGAGAAUGGUGGCAUUGUUCUAGGUGCCGGUGUACCACUGCGAAACCCUAAGGAUGCACCAUAACCAAUCCCUAUGAAUGUGGGCUCAUGUAACGCCCAACACGUCGAUAUAAGUUACCACACUAACGGUAAUAUACACUUAGAAAACCGACAGUAAGCUCGGAGAACUCCAAUCCGGAAGGAAAGAGAGGAAGACAGGAGGAAUGGAACAAAAAACCUCACCACAUCAUUCAUAUGAUCAUUGGGGGGACCGACGUUCCUCAAGGACCCGUGAUCAAGCCGACAAAAGUUUCCGCUGCAACAAAAGGGAAAAUUCGAGGCAGCAUGCCCAAGGACAUCAUUGCAUUCAGUGAAGAGGAUUUCAAGACUUUGUCUUACUCGCAUAAUGAUGCGUUGGUAAUUUCAUUUCUCUUGAAUAACGUUCAAAUUAAACGUGUACUCGUGGAUCCAGGUAGCUCAUCCAACGUAAUCAAGUCAAAGGUGGUAGAAUAGCUCGAACUUCUCAACCAACUCAUACCUAUCUCCCGAGUCCUCAAGGGCUUCAAUAUAGCCGAUGAAGCAACGAAGAGGGAUAUCACCCUCUUAGUCAACAUGUCUGAUAUAGUGCGGAAUACAAAAUUUCACGUCGUCAAAGGUGACAUGAGGUACAAUGCAUGGAUUCACAAUAUGAGAGCAGUACCGUCAACUCUUCAUUAGAUGAGGAAGUUUCCAACAAAAUAUGGUAUAAAAACGGUAUAUGGAGAAAAUCAUGUAGCAAAGGAGAUGUUCACAGUCCACAAGGAGGCACAAACUUCUAUCCCCUCCACCUCGGAGGAGCCGAGAGGCAAACAGAUCCUCGAGGAUGAUGAGGAAGACUUCCUCGUUCCCUAAACUUUUGUUUCCCCCGAAGAAUCGGACGCAACAAAAUCAAUAAUUGAAGAACUGGAGCAAGUUGUUUUGAUCGAGCAUUUCCUAGAUCAGAAGGUAUACCUGGGAAUGGGAUUAACCCCCGAACUCAAGAAAAAACUCAUUCAAUUUCUUAUUAAUAAUAUCGAUUGCUUUGCUUGGUCCCACUUAGAUAUGAUAGGGAUCCCACCGGAAAUAACCACCCAUCGACUUAGUGUUGACCCCAGGUUCAAACCGGUGAAGCAAAAAAAGGAGACCUCAGUCCGAGGUAAAACACGCGUUCAUCAAGGACGAGGUAACAAAAAUCCUCAAAAUAGGGUCUAUUAGGGACGUAACAUAUCCUGAAUGGUUGGCAAAUGUGGUAAUAGUUCCCAAAAAGGGGAAUAAGUUAAGAAUGUACAUAGAUUAUAAAGACUUAAAUAGAGCAUGCCCCAAAGAUUUGUUCCCGUUGCCCAACAUCGACCGCUUGAUUGAUGCCACGACCGGCCACGAGAUCCUCACCUUUCUCGACGCCUACUGGGGGUAUAAUCAAAUUCAGAUGAACCAAGAGGAUAGGGAAAACACUUUGUUCAUCAUGAAGUACGGUACUUACUGCUACAAUGUGAUAUCGUUCGGGCUAAAGAACGUGGGAGCCACGUACUAAUACCUUGUUAAUAAGAUGUUCGAACAUCAAAUAGGAAAAUCCAUGGAAGUUUAUAUUGAUGAUAUUCUAGUUAAAUCCCUGCACGCAGAGGACCAUUUGACCCAUUUGCAAGAUAGAUUUAACAUCCUCAGAAGCUACAACAUGAAACUCAAUCUCAAGAAAUGUGCUUUUGGUGUGGGUUCGGGAAAAUUCUUAGGCUUCAUGGUGUAAAAUAGGGGAAUGGAGAUCAACCCCAAUAAAAUCAAAGCCAUCGAAGAAAUCACGGUGGUAAACAAUAUGAAGGUCGUACAACGGUUGACCGAACGGAUAGAAGGCUUGGGCCAAUUCAUUUCAAGGUCAUCAGACAGGAGUCAUCAUUUCUUGUCUUUUCAAAAAGAAAAAUAGCUUUGAAUGGACUCCGGAAUGCCAGUGUGUCUUAGAGAAGUUGAAGCAAUAUCUGACAAGCCCACCUUUUACUCCACACCCCAAAAAAGGAUGAAACAUUGUAAUUGUACCUGGCCGUAUCCGAGGUAGCGGUAAGUGGUGUGCUGGUUUGAGAAGAACAAGGUAUGCAAUUCCCUAUUUAUUAUGUAAGUCGGACCCCGGGAGAUGCCGAAACCAGGUAUCUACACCUAGAAAAAUUAGCUCUUGCAUUGAUAAGCGCAUCUCGAAAAUUAAAGCCUUAUUUUCAAUGCCAUCGUAUUUGUAUUUUAAUGACAUAUCCUCUUUGAAGCAUUACAUAAGCCCGAAUUAUCGGGCCAUCUGGCCAAAUGGGCCAUCAAACUCGGGGGUAGGAUAUCGAGUAUCAACCCCAAACGGCUAUGAAGUCCCAAAUUCUGGCAAAUUUUGUGGCCAACUUUUUGCCUGCCGUCGUGCACGAGGUAGAGAAAUAAUUUCUACUAAAAACGGGUACAUCUUCGGGGUAUAGACCUUGUUCACUGACGGUGCCUCAAACGUGAAAAGGUUCGGACUCGGCAUAGUUCUGAAGCCACCUACGAGUGGCAUGAUUAGGCAAUCUAUAAAACUGCAAGGUUGACUAACAAUGAAGCCGAGUAUGAGGAUAUGAUUGCAGGUCUGGAAUUGGCCAAAGGCCUAGGUGCGGAGGUCAUCGAAGCAAAAUGUGAUUCCCUUCUGGUGGUAAACUAGGUAAAUGGGAACUUUGAGGUUCGAGAAGAUAGGAUGCAAAGAUACUUAGACAAAAUUCAAGUCACAUUACACCGCUUCAAAGAAUGGACUCUGGUCCACAUACCUCGAGAGCAGAAUAGUGAGGCUGAUGCCCUCGUAAAUAUCUUCCUGGGGCUGUUGUUAAGCUAUACAAAUCUGUGGUCAAAGAAGGACAUGCCGAAAUCAACUCCACUAACCUGACAUAGGAUUGGAGAAAUAAAUAUAUUGAUUAUUUGGAAAGUGGAAAGCUACCCACGGACCCAAAAGAGUCGAGGGCCCUACGGACCAAAGGAGCCUAAUUCUCACUCGAUGAAAAUGGAAUUCUAUACAGAAGAACCUUUGAUGGGCACCUAGUAGUAUGCCUGGGACCGGGAGACACAGGUUACGUGCUCCGAGAAAUCCACGAGGGCACCUGCGGAAAUCACUCUGGUGCCGAUUCAUUAGUCCGAAAGGUGAUCAGAGCAGGCUACUAUUGGGACAGCAUAGAGAAGGACACCAAAGAAUUCAUCCGAAAAUGUCACAAAUGCCAGAGAGUUGCACUAAUCAUUUACCAACCCGGUGAACAACUACAUUCAAUCUUGUUACCAUGGCUGUUCAUGAAGUGGGGGAUGGACAUCGUCGGACCCCUACCAAUAGCACCAGGUAAAGCUAGAUUUAUUUUAUUUAUGACUGACUACUUCUCAAAAUGGGUGGAAGCGCGGGCCUUCGAGAAUAUAAGAGAAAAAGAAGUCAUUAACUUCAUCUGGGACCAUAUCAUGUGUCGAUUCGGGAUUCCCUCCGAGAUAACAUGUGAUAACGGGAAGCCGUUCAUCGAAAGUAAAGUCACAAAGUUCCUCAAGGACCAUAAAAUCAAAAGGAUCCUAUCGACACCCUAACACCCAUGUGUAAACGGUCAGGCCGAGUCCACAAACAAGACCAUCAUUCAAAACUUGAAAAAUAAGUUAGAAAAUGCGAAAGGAAAAUGGUGAGAAAUGUUGCCCGGGUGCUUUGGACAUAUCAAACAACUCCAAGAUCAAGCACGGGGGAAAUGCCUUUCUCUUUGGUGUAUGGCUUCGAUGCUUUGAUAUCGAUCGAGGUCGGAGAACCAAGUGCCAGAUUUCGACAUGCAACCAAAAACGCAAACAACAAGGCCAUGAUUGUAGCCCUCGAACUAUUAGAUAAAAAGCAAGAAGCUUCGCUGGUCCGAGUGGCCACCCAAAAACAAAGAAUCAAAAGGUACUAUAACGGGAGAACAAAUCUCCGACAUUUCGGAGUCGGGGACUUAGUCCUAAGGAAAGUUACCCUUAACACUCAAAACUCUAAUGAAGGAAAGUUAGGCUCGAGCUGGGAAGGACCGUACCGCAUCCUCGGAGUGAUCGGCAAAGGGUCCUACAAACUCGGUACCAUAGAAGGUGAACAACUUCCAAGUAAUUGGAACAUAUUAAUGCUCAAACGCUAUUACUGCUAAGGUGUUCGAUAGAAGACACCGAAGCAUCCUCCGACUCAAAGACCUUGGGUUUUAAAGCAUGCAUUGUACUCUUUUCCUUCGACCAGAUUUUAUCCCAAAAAGGGUUUUACCGACAAGGUUUUUAACGAGGCUACGUCUAUAUGCUACCUAAGAGGAUUCAAAAAGUAUUCAAGGCUUCUCUCCAAUCACCCUCGAAUACUGGGUGGCAUCUCCUCGGGAGAUCGCCUCAUCGGAAACCGAGAUCAAAACAAGCCAAAGAGGGUCUCGAUAGGAAGAUUAUGUAUCGGGCCAAACGGUCAAAUGAACUAGUCCGCAUAGAAUAAUGAAAACCUAGAUGACCUCUAACAUGUAUACUUUUACCAAGUAAUCAAAAGAGUAUAUUUAUCAUCAAAACACUUCGCGUUAUGUAUACUUGUACUAAGUAACCAAAGAAGUUUGCUACUUUUCCAAGAAACAGCCGCAGGGACAGAAAUUUCCUAAACAUUGGGAAACUGACACCUUCGAGCUAGAAAUUUAGAGCUCACAAGCCCUCAAUGAGGUAAUAUUAAGUUUACAAGGAACGGCUCCAGAGCCAAAAACUUUCGAUGUCUCGGGGACUAUCACCCCAUCGAGCUAUCAAAAACUCGAGGCCAUAAGACCCCAAGAGGGCAACCUCGAGCCCAAAAUCCCUCCGUGUGGCAAUUCUAGAAAAUGUACGACCUCCAUGAGGCAUUAUCAAUAGUGUAAGACCCCCAUAAGGCAACCUUGAACUCAUAAGACCCCCAUAAGGCAACCUCGAGCUCAUAAGACCUCCAUAAAGUAAUACCAAAUCUGUAAGACCUCAAACAAGGUAUGAAUUAUACUUACGCCAAGUAAUCUAUCUGUAAGACCCUAAGUAGGGCAUGUUCAAAUUUAUAAGAUCUUACAAAAGUCAUAAUCCCGAUCAUAAAGUCAAGGCUAUAUAUUGGAACUUGUAAAACACCUGAAAAGGCAUACCCUCGAUAUAGACGCCGAGGCUACCUCACUCGGGGAAUAAAAGGCUAUGGACAAUGACAGUGACUAUGGUCACAAGGUUGUACCAGCUAAACUAACGUGACUCGAGGACGCCCGACCAUUGACAUAAAAUCACAGGCCUUCAAUUACUUAAAAAAUACUUUGAAAAGAACUGGUUAAUUAGACUACCCUCGGCAUAAGCAAAAGAGCUUCAAUCAUAUCAGCUCCAAAUAAUAAAAAGGCUUCUAGAUAAUUCAGACAUCGAGCGAAACCUCCCGAGGCACUCAUUUAUCCUUACAUAAUGGCUCACAAUCGAGGUUCUUAUCGAACCAUCAAAGAGUCGGACGGACACAAAAAUUUCAAAAAGUCUUUAACGAGGGAAAAGUAAAGCCUAUAUCAGAGGUCGUACUGACCCAAUGCGUAAGAGCCUAAGGGCCAGCUAAAAAGAGCCUUAGGGCCGAUUAGAGGUCGUACUGACCCAACACGUAAGAGCCUAAGCGCCAGCCUAUAUUAGAGGUCGUACCGACCCAACGCGUAAGAGCCUAAGGGCUAGCUUAAAACAGCCUUAGGGCCGAUUAGAGGUUGUACCAACCCAAUGCGAAAGAGCCUAAGUGCCAGCCUAUAUUAGAGGCCAUACCGACCCAACGUGUAAGAGCCUAAGGGCCAGCUUAAAAGAGCCUUAGGGCCGAUUAGAGGUCGAACCGACCCAACGCGUGAGAGCCUAAGCACCAGCCUAUAUUAGAGGUUGUACCAACCCAACGUGUAAGAGCCUAAGGGCCAGCUUAAAAGAGUCUUAGGGCCGAUUAGAGGUCACACUGACCCAACGCGUAAGAGCCUAAGGGCCGGCUCGAAUAGCCUCAGGGCUGAUUCUCAGACCUAAAGAUCGACAAACUCAAGUCGGAACUCGACUCGAGGACUAAGCCCCAAAUGAUCAACUUUCGACCAUUACAAGUCACCCAUUAGUAGCGAAAACCUAAGGGUUCAAUCUGAGGUCCAAAAUUUUGGACCAAUUAUCAACAAGCAUCGCAGUAUAUUCCUAAAAAGUAAAGUAAAAACGAAAAAUGAUGAAAAACAAAAGGCUUUCUACAUAUAUAUUGAAAGUUCACAAGGGUGAAUUUACAAGGCCUAUGCCUAAAGCCCUUACAAAGGAGAAAGCAAGUAAAACCCCUAAUUUGUCGUCGGGGUUGUGUAUUCAACGGCUCCCUCAGAGGUUGUGCCCUCAAUAGCUCUGGCCACGGUCCCCAGGUCAUCAAUGGCCCCUUCCCCUUCGGGGAUUUCGCCUUCAUCAUCUUCUGAGCCACUGUUUGACUCACCUUUAGAAGCAAGCAAGGUUGCAACCUCCUCUUCUAGGGUCUUCACCUUCUCGAUCUCGGUAGAUAAAUCAAUGCCCCUUGCAUGUAUAUCCUCGAGAUCUUGCCUCCGAGAUUCUAACCGGGAAUGAUCCACGGCUCGGGUCAACUUUAGAUCGGACCCCUCAGACACCUUCCUGGCCUGAGCAUUUGCACCAACAGCAUCCUCUUUGUGCGAGGAUACGAGCGCCUCAGCUUCAGCCCUGAUCUCGGAUAGAGUGGAAACUAACUCAGUAUGAAGUUCUUUAUACUUAUUUCUCUCCUCCCUCGCGCCAUGAAGUUUAUGUUCGAUUUAGACCACCUUCCCCUGAAGGGUAUCUCUCUUAGUGGCUAUCUCACUCACGUAAUGUUUGAGUUCGAGAAUUUCAGAGUCUCUGGCUCGAAGCUCCUCCCUCAUUAGGACAUCCUUCUUCUCAAGCUGCAUAGAUCAGCCCAAAGGUAUUAAAACACUGAAGUUAGGUAAGUUUGUAGAUAAAAACAAACAAAAACUACAUAACCUGCUCAGUAAGAUGAGUUCUCUCUCGAGACACCGCCUCCAAACAACCUCAAAAGCUACGGAGUUCCUCCUUCUUCUUGGUAAAAAGAGCUCUAAUCUCAUUGGCUUUGGAGGUGAGCUUCCUGCGCUCACCCUCAUAGUGAGCCAAAUCAGCUUGAAAUCUGGCAAAGGUCUGAUUAUAAAGCACCUUGGCCUAGAACUAUAAAAGAAACAACGUUAGAAAGAUGAAGAUCAGGAUGCCGAGUAGAAUUUACAAAAAAUUACCUACUCAUAGAGCCUAUCUAUCUCGCGGGAAAUAAGUGAGGAAUCAAGCUCAGGAUUUUUCUCGGGCACAGAAAAAAGCUUUUUAAAUGCAUCUUUAUCUCUGACGGGCAUCCCCACAUCGGAAGAUUCUUUAUUUUGGGCAUCCUGCAUCUCCCUUGUAGGUAAAGUCGGUCCUGGAGGGGAAUUUCCACUUCAAUAACCCCGACUGGAUCAAUUAGGGCCGCCUCUUAUUUCUGGAGAGCUCCAGAACUAGGCUCCUCCAGACAGCCUACCAAAUGCACCUCAGCUUGAGGAAUAUUUUGGCCAUUAACCGGCUCAGGGACAAUACCUAUACACCCUCGAAGGCCUCUUCAUCACAAGGUAGGGCAACAACAGCAUCGAGUUCCGAUUUAGAAGCUACUAGCUCAGCAAUAUGAGGGACGGUCAAGAUUUCUCCUCCCUCAGGUACUAUCGAGGAAUCACCUUUCUCCUCGCCUUUAGCUCGGGGACUCCCUGAUACUUCUGGAGUUAAGGCUACUGAAUUAGCUUUAGGUUCUUCCACUUUGGCCUUCUUGGAUUUUGAAGACUCAAUCGACGAUUCCCUUCAUUUCUCUCCUGUUUGUCAGGUUUUGGGUUAUCUGCUUCCCCAGGUGGUGCUUCUCUCAUCAAGGAGGCCUCUCCCAAACCUGCACAAAUAUAAAAUAAAAAUGCAGGGAAUAAAGGCACCAUCGGUGAUAGUUCUUCUGAGAGAUUCAAUUGCAUUAGAAGCGAGGGCUCACCAUGGUUCUUAGCCUUCCAUCGAGCCCUAGACAGGUUGCACCACACGCGCUCAGCAUAUGGGCAUGUCAAAUCUAGCCAGCUAACCCAGCCUGAGAGAUCUCUGACCUCGACAGGGUACACCGCGCCAGCUAUAUCAGCGGAGGAAGUUAGUUCAUGAGGAAAUUAUUCCUAAAGGAAAGGAAAAUACUUAAUCAGCAUAUCCAUUUACGUUUUGUGAUCCACCUUUCUGGGAACGACAUUUUUUCCACAGGGAUAAGGUCUGAGGUCCUAACUUGAACAAAACAGCUCAUCCACCCUUCGUCCCUAACCUCGCCAAUACAAGCAAAGAAGGCUUUCGAGGCCCGGCAUCUGAGCUUAAUCAGGCCCCCUCGAAGGAGUCAGGGACUGUACAUUCUAAUCAAGUGACCGAGGGUGAAGGGCAUCCCCUUAAUCAUAUUCGCAAAACGUCUGAUCAUGUAAAUGAUGUGCCAAAACGACGGAUGAAUUUGGUCGAGAGUCACUCAAUAUCAUUCACAGAAUUUGAGGAACAUGGGGUGUAUUAAAGGCGAGGAUGGCUCCACCGGGCCCAGAGUAAAUGGAUAGGUAUACACACUAAUAAAGCCGGCCUUGAAUGUCAUUAUGUCCUCUCCCUAAGAAGGGAUAUCCACCCGCACCGUGCCCCGUAGUGGCAAUCAGUCUUUACCUUCUCGGUGUCUGCUACUAAACUAAUGUACUGGGACACAGGUUCACAUCGUCCCGGCUUCAAAGAAGGCUUGUCAAUCUUGAAAUCGGAGGUCAUUUUGCAGGGUCCUGGGAUGCACUCCUCAAGAUGAGAGGGUACUGUUGUCUUACCCUUAGGCGAGCGUGAAUAAGAUGGAAGCACGUCUCCCUGAGGGACAGAGAUAUAAAUCUUCACCAUUCUUGUUAAAACGAUUUCAGAAGGGAGAAGAGAUUGUAAUCAGAGAAAAACACAAGAAAGAAGUAAGAAGAACUCUUUUAAAGGCUUAAUGAUACAGUGGAAAAUAAGGGGCGAAGGAAGAAGUAUUUAUAGAGGCCAAUCAUGCACAUUGGAGCAGGCCAAACGGUAGCCAACCGCUGUAAUCAAUUCAAAGUCUCUUCAAAGGUUGUAUGGGUGCGACCUUUAGACACCCUUUUUGUCACAUCAAUCGCUUGAUAUAGUGCAACUGACGUCAUGAUGAACGUAUCCAAGAGGCAAGAAUUCAAUACCGUUUCUUAUCAUUUUCGCUCUAAGAAAUGUGGGGACUAACUGUACACGGCUAAAAUCAGAGAGUCCAAUUUUAGGAUCGUUAUAGCAUUCCGUAGCCCAGAAGGCUCGAGGUACAGCUCGAGGUAUGACCCCGAGGGUUCUCUAUGCUCAAUCUCGGGGCAGCACAAAUUGAUGGCUAUCAUGGACAAGUGGGAAAUUCCCAAGGCGCGUGAUCAAAGCUGACAAUGCCUGCAAGAAUAGUACAAGUCCGUACCAGACCUUUAAGUAGCUAUACCAGCUACUUUUCUUUGUAAUAAUCAUACAUGUACUAUGUUGAGAUUCCCCCUCUUAUAUAAAGGGGACCCUUGCUAUUUCUGGCAGACAUGAUAUUCAAUACAAGAACAAGAACAUUCUCUACUCUCUAACUUAAGCAUUCUCCAUUGUCUUUCCUUUGAUUUAUUGCUUACAUUUAUUGCGUUUCAUUGAUUUUUCUACAUUUAUUAUUGUCACACCUCCUUUUUACCACCCCCGGAAGGGGUAUAAGGGAGUUUUUUCAAUUAAAGUAACAAUCAAAACGGGAUUAUUUUUUAAGUUUUAGAGUCGCCACUUGGGAUAGUUAUAUGGUGUCCCAAGUCACCGGUUUAAAAUCCUGAAUCGAGGAAAAGUUUGACUCUGCUUUAGAGUCCGCAAACACAUAAAUCUGGGUAAGAAAUUCUGUUAACCCGGGAUAAGGUGUUAGGCAUUCCCGGGUUCCGUAGAUUUAGCAAGGUCGCUCAUUGUGCAUUUUUAAUGUUAUAACCACCUUUUAAUUAUUUUAAACCGCUUUUAGAAUUUAUGGAAUUAUUUCUUGAACAAGUUACGAUUGUCGUACACUUGUUCGCUUUGGAACACGCUGCGAACCACACUACAUGAAAUGCACUCACAAUUCACGACAUGUGUAUUUUAUUAACAUUCGAAGUUGUUAUGAUCGGAUUACAUGAAAUGCACCCCCGAAUUUGCUAAUUCACAGGUAUGAAACUAAUGUAUCAAUAUAACAUAGUAAAUCUGAAAGGACGGGAAGAUUCAAUCAUUUCCCUCAAACCUACAAAGAGACGUUUCCCGACUCCAAGGAUUCAGAAAGAUAUGAACUAUUAAUAUUUCGCAGUACCUCACAAACUCCAACUAUAGUUUGAACACAUGGAAAAUCUCUUAUCCAUUUCUUCUAAGUAAUUCAGGAAUGAGCAAGUAAUGAAAGCUAAUAGGCAAGUAGCAGUUGCUAAGAUCACAAAUAUUAAUAACGAAAAUGGGCAGUGCAUGGUCAACACAAAAUCAGAUGCAGAAAACUAGAUCACUCAAAAUACUAUCAUCUUGCUUCAGUGGCAAAAAGACUAUAUUUACUAUUCUAAACAAACUGAAAUUCUACAUCAUAUCAAUCAACAAAGUAGUUAAAUUAUAAACAUGCUAGCUAUAUUAAUCAUCCGCCAAUUUUGCUCACAAAUUACUUCGUCAAAUAAUUCUAAGAAUCUCAAGAGACCUACUAUAUUUAAAUCACACCCAAAUAAAUAUUAAAACAGGGGGAAUUUUUUAGAACUACACUAAACUCAUCGCAGUGUCGUUAUAGUUUAACAUUAGGUUGCUACAACUAGAAUAAGAUAAGAAGAUCAUAAUCAAAUCUUAAAUGGAAGCCAAUAAAAGGUUCGAUAGGCAACAUUCAUCCAUAGGCCAAAUCUUGAAAGAAAGAACACUGAAAUGGACUAAUUUAUGUGGAAAACUUGUAGUAAUAUUUCACUACUCAAACAUCACAAUUAGAGACAAGAACAGGUGAACAUAGAACUCAUUCAAAUCUUCAAUUUACUUCAAUAAGAGACACAAACAGGAAAAUGAUCAUAUAACUUUAGCACUCAAAGAUUCAUCCUAACAAACUUUCAUUUAACCACAACCAAGAAACAAAAUAGAAGUAAGAGUAAUCGAAAAGUACCUGUUAACCCAAAACUUCUUAGUAACAGUUGAAGAACCAACAAAUACACAAAUUCUAGUUCCGGAAAAUUAAUGAGAACCAAUAGCAAUAAUCAAAAACAUCAGACGGAAUGACAAACUUGAACCUCCGGACUGACCUCAGCUCAAUCACUCCAUGCUUGAAGAACCAAAAAAUCAAAAUUGGAAGCGGGCUGUUGGUUUUGGGUUGAAGAGGAGGGGUAGUGCAGCAGUUUUUCCGGCUGGUUAACGGCGGCUCAAGAUGAAGAAGAAGAAAUGAGGUCAUUCAUUUUUGGGGAGUGUUCAGUCGCUGUGCUUUUUGUGUCUGUACCAUUGUUUGGUUGGGUGCUGCUAUGGAGAAGUUCUAGGUGUGUUUUAGGUUGUGUCUUGUGAAGAUCAAGGAGAGGGGUCCGCUGAUGUGUGUGUCAUUCACGAUCAGAAAACGGCUGCUCCUUCUCUUUGUGAAGUUGUUCUGUAUUCUUCCAAACUAAGGGGGGAAAAUCCAUUCGUCUCAUAAGGAAGGGCGACUGGUCCAGCUUGAAGAGGAGAUUUUGGGAUGAUGUCUGUUGUUUGAAUGGAGAAGACGAAGUUCAGGGGGAUUCGAAGAAGAUGAUCUUCAGGGGGUGGGGUUAUUGGUGUAAACGGCGGAUUCUUUUAUGUGUCCCCUUUUAGGCGUUAGGUCUAGGGUUGUUUUUAAGCUUUUUUCUGGGGUUUUAGGGGUAUUUGGCUUGGGUUGUUAUGGGCUAGGUCCGAGAAUUAGGCCUAAAAAUGGACCAUUU